rnacentral:lncRNA from 10 species
GUCUUUAAAAGAUCCCUUUAGCUGGCCAUGGUGGUGUGCAGCUGUGGUCCCAAGCUACUCACAAGGCCAAGGCAAGAGGAUCCCUUGAGCCUUGGAAUUCAAGGUGGCAGUGAGCUAUGAUCACGCCACUGCACCCCAACCUGGGUAAGAGAGCAAGACCUUGUCUCAAAAAACAAAACAAAACAAAACAAAAAAGAGAUCCCUGUGGCAGUGGUGACCAAGCCAACUCCACAUUCAACAGCAAGACUCUGUUAUUAAUUCAAUGAAACAGAAAUUAAAAGAGAAGAGAAAAAGAAAAAGAGCUUACGUGUAACAGGUCACAGAUAAGCUUUUCAAACUGUCUAGAUUCUUAAAUUCAGGAGCGUAAUUCAACA